UUUGCAUGAACAGCCCCUCCUCUGCAGAGGGUGGGAAGAAAAGGAGGCCUGGGGCAGCCCAGCCCCACUGCGGGGAAAGAGGCUGUGUCCACCAUGGCCUGGACUCCUCUCCUCCUCCUGCUCCUCUCUCACUGUACAGGUUCCCUGUCACAGCCUGUGCUGACUCAGCCAACCUCCCUCUCAGCAUCUCCUGGAGCAUCAGCCAGACUCACCUGCACCUUGCGCAGUGGCAUCAGUGUUGGUAGUUACAGGGUACUCUGGUACCAGCAGAAGCCAGGGAAUCCUCCCCGGUAUCUUCUGAACUACCACACAGACUCAGAUAAGGGCCAGGGCUCUGGAGUCCCCAGCCGCUUCUCUGGAUCCAAAGAUGCUUCGGCCAAUGCAGGGAUUUUACUCAUCUCUGGGCUCCAGUCUGAGGAUGAGGCUGACUAUUACUGUGCCAUUUGGCACAGCAGCGCUUCUCACAGUGACACACACACAUGGGGAAGUGGGACAAAAACCUCACCCUGAUCUGGGUCUUGUUCCAUAACAGUUUUUAAAUUUUAAAAUAACCGGCCUAGGCACAAACUACAUUUGGAAGUACUUUCUAGCUGUAAAAGGCUCUUCUCUCAAUUUCCCAUCCAUCCUUCUGAAGUCUCAGUAAAACAAAGCGAAACCAAACCACCUGAUGAUCCUGAAGUGUUGGCUGCGUGUCCGUAUGUGCUAAACACCAGUGCCUGUGGAGCUGGACUAUUUUUUUUCUUGAAAGAAGCAAAAUGAGCCUUUCCUAGCUCACAGCAUGGUCAGAGCCUGGGGACAUGGUAGCAGGUGAACAGUCCCCUGCAGCAUGGACUCUGCUCUUCCAUUGUACAAGCAGAGACCUCCCUUCCAUCCCCAGUAGUCUGUUCUCAGGGCUGUCUGAGGCUCACUGUGUCCCAGGAACAAGGCCCUCAAAUAUGAAAUGCUGCCUGAGGACACAGGUCAGGGAGGAAUUCCGGACAGAGAGCUGACCUGGCUCAGUCCUGGGCACCUGCAUUUCAGUGGAAAUGUCAGGAGAUGGGGUUAGGUCUGAGGGUAACUGUGGACCUGAGGCCA